rnacentral:rRNA from 1 species
UACGUAGGUGGCAAGCGUUGUCCGGAUUUACUGGGUGUAAAGGGCGUGCAGCCGGGUUUAUAAGUCAGAUGUGAAAUCCCGCGGCUCAACCGCGGAACUGCAUUUGAAACUGUAGAUCUUGAGUACUGGAGAGGCAGGCGGAAUUCCUAGUGUAGCGGUGAAAUGCGUAGAUAUUAGGAGGAACACCAGUGGCGAAGGCGGCCUGCUGGACAGCAACUGACGGUGAGGCGCGAAAGCGUGGGGAGCCAACAGG